rnacentral:rRNA from 1 species
AGUGAACGCUGGCGGUAGGCCUAACACAUGCAAGUCGAACGGCAGCACAGUAAGAGCUUGCUCUUACGGGUGGCGAGUGGCGGACGGGUGAGGAAUACAUCGGAAUCUACUUUUUCGUGGGGGAUAACGUAGGGAAACUUACGCUAAUACCGCAUACGACCUACGGGUGAAAGCAGGGGAUCUUCGGACCUUGCGCGAUUGAAUGAGCCGAUGUCGGAUUAGCUAGUUGGCGGGGUAAAGGCCCACCAAGGCGACGAUCCGUAGCUGGUCUGAGAGGAUGAUCAGCCACACUGGAACUGAGACACGGUCCAGACUCCUAAGGGAGGCAGCAGUGUGGAAUAUUGGACAAUGGGCCCAAGCCUGAUCCAGCCAUACCGCGUCGGUAAAGAAGGCCUUCGGGUUGUAAAACCCUUUUGUUGGGAAAGAAAAGCAGCAAGUUAAUACCCCGCUGUUCUGACGGUACCCAAAGAAUAAGCACCGGCUAACUUCGUG